GAUGAACGCUGGCGGUAUGCUUAACACAUGCAAGUCGAACGGACUCUUCGGAGUUAGUGGCGGACGGGUGAGUGAAGCGUGAGAAUCUGCCUCUAGGUCGGGGACAACAGUUGGAAACGACUGCUAAUCCCGGAUGAGCCUGCGGGUAAAAGAUUAAUUGCCUAGAGAGGAGCUCGCGUCUGAUUAGCUAGUUGGUGAGGUAAAGGCUCACCAAGGCGACGAUCAGUAGCUGUUCUGAGAGGAAGAACAGCCACACUGGGACUGAGACACGGCCCAGACUCCUACGGGAGGCAGCAGUGGGGAAUUUUCCGCAAUGGGCGAAAGCCUGACGGAGCAAUACCGCGUGAGGGAAGAAGGCCUUUGGGUCGUAAACCUCUUUUCUCAGGGAAGAAGUUCUGACGGUACCUGAGGAAAAAGCCUCGGCUAACUCCGUGCCAGCAGCCGCGGUAAUACGGAGGAGGCAAGCGUUAUCCGGAAUUAUUGGGCGUAAAGCGUCCGUAGGUGGCCUUUCAAGUCUGCGGUUAAAAACCAGAGCUCAACUCUGGGGGGGCCGUGGAAACUGAGAAGCUAGAGUACGGUAGGGGUAGAGGGAAUUCCCAGUGUAGCGGUGAAAUGCGUAGAGAUUGGGAAGAACACCGGUGGCGAAAGCGCUCUACUGGGCUUGUACUGACACUGAGGGACGAAAGCUAGGGGAGCAAAAGGGAUUAGAUACCCCUGUAGUCCUAGCCGUAAACGAUGGAAACUAGGCGUAGCCUGUAUCAACUCAGGCUGUGCCGAAGCUAACGCGUUAAGUUUCCCGCCUGGGGUGUACGCACGCAAGUGUGAAACUCAAAGGAAUUGACGGGGGCCCGCACAAGCGGUGGAGUAUGUGGUUUAAUUCGAUGCAACGCGAAGAACCUUACCAGGGCUUGACAUCCCGCGAAUCCUGCCGAAAGGUGGGAGUGCCUAAGGGAACGCGGAGACAGGUGGUGCAUGGCUGUCGUCAGCUCGUGUCGUGAGAUGUUGGGUUAAGUCCCGCAACGAGCGCAACCCUCGUCCUUAGUUGCCAUCAUUAAGUUGGGAACUCUAGGGAGACUGCCGGGGACAACUCGGAGGAAGGUGGGGAUGACGUCAAGUCAGCAUGCCCCUUACGUCCUGGGCUACACACGUACUACAAUGGUUGAGACAAAGGGCAGCGAACUCGCAAGAGCCAGCGAAUCCCAGCAAACUCAGCCCCAGUUCAGAUUGCAGGCUGCAACUCGCCUGCAUGAGGUAGGAAUCGCCAGUAAUCGCCGGUCAGCAUACGGCGGUGAAUCCGUUCCCGGGCCUUGUACACACCGCCCGUCACACCAUGGAAGCUGGCAACAUCCGAAGUCGUUACUCCAACCGUUCGCGGAGGAGGGCGCCGAAGGUGGGGCUAGUGACUGGGGUGAAGUCGUAACAAGGUAGCGUACCGGAAGGUGUGGCUGGAUCACCUCCUUU
rnacentral:rRNA from 1 species